UUUGCGUAAAAGCUAUGGGGGUGGUAGAAAUCAGGACAUCCUCAGCAUAUGUCCUGCAGAUUGACAGACACCAGGUCAUCCAGGUUCUGAAACACAGGAACAGCGUAAUCUACUACACGGCGCCCCCUACCAACAGCGAGUGGAAUCUCACAGCCCCUGUAUGGCCCUCACAAAAGUUCCAUAAGCCUCAACAUUUUUGCAUGAACUGGUGGUUUGAUCUGGACACCUGACAGCAUUACAAGAAAAAAACAUUCCAUAAUAUGGGGUUUCCUGAUGACAUCAGCUGCUCACCCUUUGCCAGUGGUCCUGUAGCUGUCACUGUACUGGAUAUAUGAUGAAUGGAGGCCUCAGCCACAACCUUUGCUGGAGUUACAAGGAUGGGACUUAGAACUCCCUGAUCCUGUUCUGGGCUUUGCUGCCUUGCAGUUGUCAAAGUUGAGCAAUGUCCCCAGAGCUUCUGGUCACAAGCAGGCAAAGGCAUUGCUUGGCACAGUGUUGCUGCUG